UACAGAGGUCUCAAGCGUUGUUCGGAUUCAUUGGGCGUAAAGGGUGCGUAGGCGGCGCGGUAAGUCGGGUGUGAAAUCUCGGGGCUUAACUCCGAAACUGCAUUCGAUACUGCCGUGCUUGAGGACUGGAGAGGAGACUGGAAUUUACGGUGUAGCGGUGAAAUGCGUAGAUAUCGUAAGGAAGACCAGUGGCGAAGGCGGGUCUCUGGACAGUAACUGACGCUGAGGAGCGAAAGCGUGGGGAGCGAACAGG
rnacentral:rRNA from 1 species